GCUACGGGCGGCUGCAGUGGGGAAUAUUGCGCAAUGGGCGAAAGCCUGACGCAGCGACGCCGCGUGAGGGAUGAAGGUCUUCGGAUCGUAAACCUCUGUCAGCAGGGAAGAACGGUCACUGGGCUAAUCAGCAGUGAAUUGACGGUACCGGCAAAGGAAGCACCGGCUAACUCCGUGCCAGCAGCCGCGGGAAGACGGAGGGUGCGAGCGUUAAUCGGAAUUACUGGGCGUAAAGCGCUCGUAGGCGGUAUGUCAAGUCAAGGGUGAAAUCCCCGCGCUCAACGUGGGAACUGCCUUUGAAACUUGCAACCUGUAGUGUGUUAGAGGAUAGUCGACUUCCAGGUGUAGGCGU
rnacentral:rRNA from 1 species